UACGUAGGGGGCAAGCGUUGUCCGGAAUUAUUGGGCGUAAAGAGCGUGUAGGCGGCCAGAUAAGUCCGCUGUGAAAUCUCGAGGCUCAACUUCGAGCUGUCGGUGGAAACUGUCUGGCUAGAGUCCGGAAGAGGAGAAUGGAAUUCCUGGUGUAGCGGUGAAAUGCGCAGAUAUCAGGAAGAACACCCGUGGCGAAGGCGGUUCUCUGGGACGGUACUGACGCUGGAGACGCGAAAGCGUGGGGAGCGAACAGG
rnacentral:rRNA from 1 species